rnacentral:rRNA from 1 species
AUUGAACGCUGGCGGAAUGCUUUACACAUGCAAGUCGAACGGCAGCACGGGGGCAACCCUGGUGGCGAGUGGCGUACGGGUGAGUAAUACAUCGGAACGUGCCCAGUCGUGGGGGAUAACGUAGCGAAAGUUACGCUAAUACCGCAUACGAUCUACGGAUGAAAGCGGGGGACCGUAAGGCCUCGCGCGAUUGGAGCGGCCGAUGUCAGAUUAGGUAGUUGGUGAGGUAAAGGCUCACCAAGCCGACGAUCUGUAGCUGGUCUGAGAGGACGACCAGCCACACUGGGACUGAGACACGGCCCAGACUCCUACGGGAGGCAGCAGUGGGGAAUUUUGGACAAUGGGCGCAAGCCUGAUCCAGCCAUCCCGCGUGCAGGACGAAGGCCUUCGGGUUGUAAACUGCUUUUGUACGGAACGAAAAGGCUCUGGUUAAUACCUGGGGCUCAUGACGGUACCGUAAGAAUAAGCACCGGCUAACUACGUGCCAGCCGCCGCUGUAA